rnacentral:rRNA from 1 species
UACGAAGGGGGCUAGCGUUGCUCGGAAUGACUGGGCGUAAAGGGCGCGUAGGCGGCUGUGACAGUCAGAUGUGAAAUUCCUGGGCUCAACCUGGGGGCUGCAUUUGAUACGUGAUGGCUGGAGUGGGGAAGAGGGUCGUGGAAUUCCCAGUGUAGAGGUGAAAUUCGUAGAUAUUGGGAAGAACACCGGUGGCGAAGGCGGCGACCUGGUCCUUGACUGA